rnacentral:rRNA from 1 species
AUGAAAGCGGGGGAUCGCAAGACCUCGCGCGAUUGGAGCGGCCGAUAUCAGAUUAGGUAGUUAGUAGGGUAAAGGCCUACCAAGCCAACGAUCUGUAGCUGGUCUGAGAGGACGACCAGCCACACUGGAACUGAGACACGGUCCAGACUCCUACGGGAGGCAGCAGUGGGGAAUUUUGGACAAUGGGCGAAAGCCUGAUCCAGCCAUUCCGCGUGCAGGAUGAAGGCCCUCGGGUUGUAAACUGCUUUUGUACAGAACGAAAAGGUCUCUACUAAUACUAGGGGCUCAUGACGGUACUGUAAGAAUAAGCACCGGCUAACUACGUGCCAGCAGCCGCGGUAAUGCGUAGGGUGCAAGCGUUAAUCGGAAUUACUGGGCGUAAAGCGUGCGCAGGCGGUUAUAUAAGUCAGAUGUGAAAUCCCCGGGCUCAACCUGGGAACUGCAUUUGAGACUGUAUAGCUAGAGUACGGUAGGGGGGGAUGGAAUUCCGCGUGUAGCAGUGAAAUGCGUAGAUAUGCGGAGGAACACCGAUGGCGAAGGCAAUCCCCUGGACCUGUACUGACGCUCAUGCACGAAAGCGUGGGGAGCAAACAGGAUUAGAUACCCUGGUAGUCCACGCCCUAAACGAUGUCAACUGGUUGUUGGGUCUUAACUGACUCAGUAACGAAGCUAACGC